AGCAGAACAGGCCAUGUCACAGGACUGGUUCACACAGUAGAAGGGACUUGUCUAAAGCUCAGGUACUCUUUGGAUCUCUACGCAGGCAAAUUUCCUAAGCUCCAUCCACGUCUCCACUGAAUGCUGUGUUGCUUUGAAAUUUCAUCAGCCCAACAAACUCAUCCACCCUUGUGAAUUCAGCCUCACUCAGAAGUGUAGCGCACCAGCACAGAGGAGCCAUGUUCUCCAGCAGGGUGUUCUCGGAAAUGGCCUUCAGUUGGAUUUCUGAUCAAGCUCUCUCUUCUCUCCUGGAGCCUCAUGAACGUAGCCUUCACUUCUCUCAACAUUCUGGCCUUCCACAAUCUCUUCUACAGGAUCACCUGCUCCACUCUGUUUGUGCUGUUUGAGGGCUUCUCUGGCCUGUGUAGCUACAAACUCUUCUACAUUCCUCUCCCAAACCACUUCCAACACACCAUUAGUCAUAUGUCUAGGUUAUCACAGCAACUCCCCUUACCAGUGCCACUAUCAAUAGUCUUCUCAUGGUGCUGAUGUAAAACCUGACAGAAGACUAUGUUUUGACUCAUGUCUUGAGAAGUACAGUCCAGCAUGGUGAACAAAGCAUGGGCUGCAUUUGGUUUGUGGCAGACAUGAGCCAAAGAGGAACUUGCCAGAACUAGAAUCGGGCUUCAGGACAAAAGGCCUGCACCACAACAAACCACUUCCUUCAGCUGGGAAUCAUAUUCAAACAGUUCCACAGCCUCCCAAAACAGUGCCACCAGCUUGAGACUAAGUUCCCAAACUAAUGAGCCAUCCUUUGAAUCAUACUCAAAGCAUGACAUGUGUGAACCAGUCUUUACACAUUCAUAUACUGGAUGCAGACACAUCUAAUAUAUACAUACAGGUGAGGUGGUUCUAUACAAUUUUAUUGGACUAGAAAAUCUGCAGCCUAGUGACUGAUUGAAGAACAAUACACUACUUGUCUGUGGUAAUGCUAUGAUCAAAAAUCAAAGUGCUGGUGGGGACUGAAGAGAUGGGGGUCACAUGCCAAGACCCCUCAAAUUUUCCUGAUUUCAAAAUGGAGUGAACAGACCUAUCAAGUCCUGCUCACUCCUGCAGCUCAGUCCUGCCUGCCUUGUGUUCAGAACACUUAAACUAAUCACACUGAGGCAAAGCCAUGCCACCCAAAGCCUAAUUUAUACUUAAGUGCUCAAUAUUAAACAUAGUCCUGAGAGAC
ensembl:lincRNA Gm43262 predicted gene 43262